rnacentral:rRNA from 1 species
ACUCAAAUGAAUUGACGGGGGCCCGCACAAGCGGUGGAGCAUGUGGAUUAAUUCGAAGCAACGCGAAGAACCUUACCAAGGCUUGACAUCCCCCUUGAGUUAAUAGAGAUAUUAACGCCCUUCGGGGGAGGGGAGACAGGUGGUGCAUGGUUGUCGUCAGCUCGUGUCGUGAGAUGUUGGGUUAAGUCCCGCAACGAGCGCAACCCUUAUGUUUAGUAGCCAGCGGGUAAAGCCGGGCACACUAGAGAUACUGCCGUGGAUGACACGGAGGAAGGUGGGGAUGAGGUCAAAUCAUCAUGCCCCUUAUGUCUUGGGCAUCACACGUGCUACAAUGGCUCGAACAGAGUGAAGCGAGGCAGUGAUGCGGAGCAAAACACAAAAACGAGUCCCAGUUCGGAUUGCAGGCUGCAACCCGCCUGCAUGAAGUUGGAAUCGCUAGUAAUCGCGAAUCAGCAUGUCGCGGUGAAUACGUUCCCGGGCCUUGUACACACCGCCCGU